CCUGUGUAAAACAUGUUGAACUAGAGCGCUGGAGUGAUCACAGCAACUUGAGGAACUUACAGUUGGAGCCAGAAGAGUACACAGACAACUUCAGGACAGCUUAAGGAGUACAACCGAGUAUGGGAUACAAUGAGGUACCAAAAAAAUAGGGGUGAAAGAAGGUUCCCUGGUGGAGGUGAAGAUCAUGGGCCUCAGUCGUCAGGCAAGAAAAGUGGACAGAGGAGGUCUUUACAAUUAUCUAAAAAAUUGCCUGAGGCAUUGAACAUAUUGCCGGAUAUUUAGCUGAAAACAAACAAAAAUGUUUUCAAACAAGGAUGCAGAUGAAAAAGCUAUACAAUGAUUUUAAUACCAUCCCCACUCCAUCACCUCUACAACCACCACCCAGCACUGCCACACAUACUCUCAGAAUGUUUGGUAUCAUAUACGACUCUCCUAAAGCAAGAGAUAAUGUCAAAAAUUUAAAAAGAGAAUGCUACUCCUACAUUUCCAGAUAACAUAAACAGUUGUAACCCUUGAACUUCCCGUAUAUAUUAUUUGUUUUCAACACACUGAUUGUUCAUGUGACCUUGGACCUCUAUGAAUUUUAUGUAUUUAAUAAAUGAAGGCAAGUGUUCACCUUAA